rnacentral:tRNA from 1 species
GUGGUCGUGGUGUUCAACGGACAGCACAUCGGCUCGCCAAGCCGGGAGUACGGGUUCGAAUCCCGUCGACCGCACCA